CAUAGAGUCAUUAAGCAUCCCAGAAGCCUAUUUUGAAAGAUUUAUUAAAAAAUUUCUCUAUUAAUGGAGGUUGAUUUCAAAGUAAAAGCCUAUAAUACCUCAGUUAGACACAGUAAAUCAAAUUUGACCCUUACAUUUUGACUUCUUUUUCUUUUGAUCCUUGAGAUGUGGCAAAGCUUCAACCAUUUUAUUUCUUUCCUGCUCUUUUGGUUUCUUUCUUCUUCUUUCAUUAUCAUUUUUUUUUCAUGUGAACAGAGCAAGAGAGGAGAUCAGGGCAACAUCUUAAAUCCAAACCCUAUUUAUGCAGAUCAUGGGUUUCUCUUUCUGUUGGAGAAAUGGAGCCAAUUUCAUAGGUUUUCUCUUCCAAUCUUGAUUUGUAAUAAAGGUAUCAAGUUCCUUUUUAUUUUUUUCUUCAUGAUAUUGUUCAAAUCUUCAAGUUUUGUUUAUUAACUGUUUUGCUAAUUUGUUUUUUUAGAUGAUUUUCUAAUAUUUAAGGAUCGAGUUUUUAACUUUGUUGUUUAUUUUAGGCUCUUGAUGAUCAAAACAAUCUGUUCUUGGGUUUCACUGGAAUGCAGAAACCUAGCUGAUUGUUCUUGGUGUUCUAGGAAUUGGGUCCUUUAAUUUGGUUGAUCCUCACCAGAAAAAUGAGUUUUUAGCCUCUUUUGGUGUUGGGAUUUUGCAAUUUCAAAACUGAUGUUAAUUCCCAGAUUGCUUCCAUGGCACCAAACUAAUGUUUUUUUUACCUAGUUGUUGGCUGAUGGUGAUUCAUGAAAGUCUUUCUUUUCUACCAGUUACAGGUUGGUAAAAGAAUUCAUUAGUCAGAAUUGAACGAGAUUUUGAUGUUUUACGUUAACUUGAUUUUGACGUGGUUGGUAGUCUGAGCAUGAAAUCUUUCUUUUAUUUUUUCUACAUUGUUGCAGUGAACAAACACAUAGCUGUCAUCCAUUUUGCUAGCCAUGGUAGUAGGUAGUUGAAAGAUGAAUUCUUAUGACUAUUUUUAAAAAAACCCACUCUACGUUCAUUCUUUACAUGCUUGCAGGUAUUAAGAAUUUGCAAGGCUUGCUUUGUUGCUUCUGAUUUUUCAGUUGUCUGUAAAAAUGGUUGUUUCUCACGGUGGAUUACAUUUUAGAUAGUGAGCCUAAACAAUACCUACCAAACAUUUUAAAAAAAAAAAAAACAGAGCAAAGCCGCGGUUCUCUCUCUUUUUAUUUACAGCUUGUGGGAUAACUGGAGCUCACGGUGUCAAGGGGGUUUUGCUGUUGCCGCAGUCGUCCGUGGCUGGUUUUGUUGAAGCUGAAGAGGUCACUGAUUGCUGUACAUGGUGGAUGCUUCUAUUGUAUCUCUUGGGGGAAAAUGAGUACUGCUCACAGUGGUUAGUUCCGGUGGUGACUGUCAUCGUGGGGAAAGGGAGUUGUUGCUGGGUCAGUGGGUGAUAGUGGAGAAAAAUAAAAGGGAAAGAGAUGAGAAGGAUUGUCCACCCGAAAUUGAUAGAAAGGGGAUAUGCUGUUGAUUGUGGUAGAGUGAGGUUGAAGAUGAAGCUUGAUUUUUUUUCAAGAGAGAAGGUACUGGUUUUGGGAAUGAAGGCCAUGGUAGGAGGAGUGGCAAAUUGAUGGAAUCAAUGGGGUUUUUUGUUUACUUUGUAUGUAAAAAAAAAAAGAUGUAGAAUGGGGUUGAUGUAUGAUGCUGGAAAAGGGAAGGAGGCUGAUAGCUUAAAAAAAUAGAGCAACUUUAUUCAUCAAGUAAUCCAAAAUUAUUUUGGUUUUUUAUAUA